CUCGCCCGGGCUCGGGCCGGGUCAACCGCGCAUCUUCACUUUCCGCGGCCGGGGGCCCCCCUCCCCCUGGCAGCGGAUUUCGGGGCCCGCCUGGGCCACCGCAGCAGAGGUCUUCCGUCCUCUGCGAGUAACGUGAUGCUCUAAACGCUGGAUUGAGAAACGAAGGGAAAAAACGUUUGGGUCAAUUAAGGAGCGUCAGGCCGCUGCGGUGGGGAGGGCGCUUCCCCUCGCCGACCUGCGGGCAGAGGCGGCGGCUCCCCCGUGCGCGCUGGGCUGCGGAAGGUGCAGGUGAGCGCGAGCCGAGGAGCCCGAUCCCUGCGGAGACCCGACGCUCUGCGCGUGGCGAGUAAGCGUUGGCAAGCCUUGACCAUGGUUACUUCUGAGUCACUCUGGUCUCCGAGUCCCAACAGCCAUCAGGACGUGGAACAAAAUGCCCCUGCCCCCACCCCGAGCAUUCUACCUGCAAUGAAUUCGGGCUCCUGCAAGCCUCUUGGAUUUCGUACUGGCAACCGGCCGGCUUUCGGCUUUCACGAGCUGGAUGGGGCUCAUUCCCAGAGCAAUUAAAGCCUGUUGUUUCAGGGGAGCCUCUGGGGAAUGCUCUCUAAUGCUCACCUGGGUGGUCAUUAUGGGUUUAUGCCUCUGUGUACACACAUUUGAAAAUUCAUUGAUGUGUGCAUUGCAGACGUGUGCACUUGGCCGUAUGGACUAUAUUCCUAGAGUUCACUGGAAGGUUUCUUGCACACUUACUAUGCGCCCAAAUGCUUUGCUAAGCCCAGUGGAUACGGCUUCCUCCCACAGGAAGCUCACAGUCCAAGGAGGGGCUAAUUACAACGUGAUAACCGCUGUCAUGGAAAUAAUUGGUCUGUGCCAAGAGUCUUAACUUAAAUCACCCAAAUUAGGGAAAGAGUGGAAGCGUCAGGUUUCAGAGGCUUUUGGUAAUGAUGGCAUCUGGCCUGAAUUUUGAGGAGGGAAGUAAAGUGGUGGUUUGGAGGAGCCGCCGAUAAUUUCUGUUCAGAGAGCAACGAGAGGGGUUGGAGUUACACAGGGGCAUGCGCAGUUCCUUGUGGGUAUUUGCCGCAGACCCCCAAGGCCCUGAAAGAUCCACUAGCCGUAGAAAGUUCGGGGUUGGCGGGGCGGGGGGUCCUGAAGGCAGGGCUGGGUCUCUAGCGUGUGCGACGUUCACCUGAGGAGAAUCUGACCACCGCAUAGAACGUGGCCAGGGAGGCAACGGAAAAAGCACGUGGAAACAAUACGUUUGUUUUGUUCUGUUUUGUUUCUGUAAAAUAAAGACUCUUUUCCCAGGUGUCGGUUCCCUCCCAUGGCCCUACUGCAGAAGCUUCUGAAAGAUAUAAGGGGCUUUACUGUGUCAUCUAGACUUGGUUUAGGUUUGGAUACAGCCCCUAGGGGUGCGAAAGUCUACCAUUUUCACUAGAUUCUGCAGCUGGACUGGAGAAUGCGGGGCAGAGGAGGCGAGGAACCAGGUCAUUCCCAUUGUCCACACCAGCGUGAAUGUGCUUCUAGUAAUAUGUUUGCAAGAUUCUUCAUGUUCCUUCCUCUCCCCCUGAAUUCUAAUGAUUAUGGUCAGGAUCUAUGGAAGUAGGAAAGGGUAUAGACAAGAAGAACCAUAAAAGCUAAACUUCAGUUCCCAAAUACGGUUUGCCAUAUGUUUUAUCUCUACUUAAGAGAGAUUAUCUCUUGUCUUUUAUCCCUACCCAUAGCUAUGUGAGUCUGUCCGCUCACCUUUCUCUUCCAACAGUAGCUAGUAAGCUUGCAAUAGGAGAGAAAAAUGGCAAAUAAUCAAAUCUCACUCCAGAAGGCCACAUAGACAACAUUGAGCUAAGCUUUAGAAUGAGAUGGAAAUGCCCAGUAGUGCUUUUAUUUUCCUUAAAAGGUUUUCCAUUAGAAGCCUACAGUAGGUCCGUGACUCCCGCAUGAGAGAGCCAUGUACACACGUUCGAUUAUUAGUCCCGCACGUAGAUGUUUUAGUGCUGAUAAUUUUGUCGAAGCCAUUUUACCUUCUCAUUCUCACCAUAUCCUCUAUUCCUUAUUUCUAAUUUUCUUGCAUUUCCUUACUACUGAGCCAAGAGAACUAGAUCGUUAUCUCUAAGCCCAGAUAAACGGGAACAUCACACCACAGUAGCAUCCUGCAGGAAAUGGAAAAGAAGCUCAGACCCAGUUUCCAAGGCCCAACUUGUAGAAGGAAUUGGGUAUCUCUCCUUUGGGCCAACUGUUGUGCUUUUAAGAAUUGGAAUGUCCAAACUAGAAUCGUCUCCAUUUGACAAACAUCCUGUCAGGGUGGUGCUUUCCCGAGAUGAACAACCUCGCACCAAGGUGGUGGCCAUCCAUACACCAGUUGGGGCACCUAGUUUAGGGAUUAGCCCUGAUAUUACACAAAAAAGGUUUUUAAGGCUUCAGAAUGGUUAAAGAGAACUGAGGUCAUAUGACAACAAGAGUAUAUCCUGAAAAGUUACUCUUGACUUUUCAUGACACACAAUCAGCAAGGAUGACUGCAGGACAUUAUCUUCCAGCCCCUUCCCACUAGGCUGGCUGUCACACCCAAGUCCACACACCAGCUCUGGUCCUAUGUUGGGGGAAAUCAUCAAGAGCACGUGACUGCUGGUUGACCCUUAAGAGGGACCCGGACAACUGGAGGCUCCUUACCCCUUCCCCUGUUCUUGGAAUGUCUGUUUUGUAGCUCCCCCCCGCCACAGGGGGAGCUGUUUCAAGGAUACAGUCUUGAGAGAGUAAAGUAUUGUUGCUUAUCGCCUUGGUAUAAACUUAAAGAUUCUAGCUAGCUGGUGUGGAGAUCUUGCCCAAGACAAGCCCUGUCUGUAAGUUCCCUUGCUUAUUCAGCUUGCCACCUACCACUCUGGAGUGGCCUGCCUCCUCCUCCGGUCUCUCCUUGCCCUCCCUGUAUGGGGGGGAUGGGGGAGGGAGGUGUUCAGAUUUUACCUGGGAAGCUGCCAAAGUUGCGAACCAUCAUCCUGGUCUGCAACCUCUUCUUGUAUCCCCCCCACACCCCCUCCCCUACCCGCCAUGGUCCUGGUUCUACCUCGUUGCAAAUUGUACCAUGCAUUCCUUGUUUCUUCAUUUAUUGAUCAUUAAACAUUCAUUAAAGGCUGGUUGUGGGCUUACUGUACGACAAACAAGGUUGCUUAUUUCCCUCCUGACUCUAGGUCAUGGGCGAGGGAACCUGAAGAAGGUGAUCAGGUGAAGGGAGUGGGGUGGGGGUGUGGCAUA